GAAUCGAUACCUUGUUAGUUCGUCUAAUCUAGAAUGCUUUGCUUGUUGCUUUAGUGAUCCUUCACUUAAUUUGAUUUCUUUUUCUGAGGCUUUUGGAAACUCAUGAAGAUUAGCCUCCAUUCUCACCUUCAAUUUUCUUGGUUGUCAAAAAUUCUACUUUGUGAUUUUGUUCUCUUUUGUUUUGCUUGGUAUUUUGAUUCAUACACUUUAUUGCUUUCAAAUUAAUUUCUUU
rnacentral:lncRNA from 1 species